rnacentral:rRNA from 6 species
UUGACCUCGAAUCAGGUAGGAAUACCCGCUGAACUUAAGC